AGGGUUGCCCAUAUUUGACGGACCCGUCUGGCAACGUCAUAACUUUUGACAGAGAUGUCACAUCGCUUAAUGACAUGCCGCGUUUGAAGCGUCAGUCCAAGCAGAUUUUUACCAUGAACCAAUACACGACACGCGAGCGCUCUGAUAUAGUUGAAAUUUACAUUCAUCAGAAGGAGUCAAUUGUGAAAACUCAACGUGCUUUUAAAACAUUAUAAAAUGUGAGAAGUGCGCCUUCUAAGAACACCAUUAAGCGUUUAUACGAAAAUUUUUCGACUGGUAAGGCUCUUUCUAAUCCGAACAGGCCAUAUAAAAGUCGACCAAGGCGAUCGGCCGAGAAUAUCGCUGCCGUACGAGCCAGUGUUGAGAGGUCCCCAAGAACAUCGCAAAAACGCCGUUCUCAGCAUUUGGGCAUGGCUCGGUCCACUUUACAACGGAUUAUUCGCAUUGAUUUGCAUCUUUUCCCGUUCAAAAUUCAAUUGACGCAAAGAAUGUUGCCUGCGGACAAGCCUCGUCGAUUGGAAUGGCCCCAAAGAAACAUGGGUCCGUCGAAUAUGGGCAACCCUGUAAAU